ensembl:lncRNA
GGAGCGGGCGGAACUUGAGAAAAUCAAACUACCAGAGUGCAGUUGAGGGGUAGCGGGCUGCGCUCGGGAAACGACUCCCCUUUUCUCCUCCACCUGUGACCUUUAGGUUCCUGGAAAACUUUGGUGUUGGGGGUGUGAAAUGUGGGGGUGCACGUGGAGGGAAAAAGAGACUCCCCUCCCCCUUGGCUUCUCUCCCACCAACCCGGGAAUGGAGGGGGAGGGAGGCGUGGGCUUGGCGCGUUUUUGGUGCUUUGAAUGGAGAACUCCGUUUCCCAUGAUGCUUUGUUUCUUUCUCUUUAAUUUCGGUGGCGGCUGCGGCAGCACGAGGACGGGAGCGCGUGGUGUGAGCAGCUGGAGCACACCCUGGACGCGCGGGCCGCUCCCGGACUUCAACGGGAGCAUUAGUGGAGAAAAUGGGUCCGUAAACGUUUAAACAGAAGUAGAGCCCUUUGAAAUGGAUCAAAAUGUGACAUCUCUCAGCCAUCUGCACAUUAUGUGAAGAGUGUAAGGCUGUGUUUCUUAAACCAGCUCUAAAAUUUCUCUCAUUUUCUAUUAAUGGAGGGGGGGAGGCUGGGACUAUUCAUUUAAUCUAACAGAGUCUCUUUCCUUAUGGAGCCCAAAAGCUCUGCAUGAGCUGAAGACUGGAAUACUCACCCUGCGUUUUACAGGCUCCUUUCUCUAGGUCCUCCUCUUAUAAAAUCAGGGUGGAUAGAAUGGGCCUGCAUAUUACUGAGAUGCAGAUAUCAAGUUUUCUUAGAUGGAGAGGGGGAGUUCAAAAUCCGCUUAUACAUAAGAAUUGGACUUUUUGCAGUUGCCAGUGUUAUUCAUGUUCAAUUCUGUGUAAAUAAUUGAGAUUAUUAAUAUUUCUCAGGAUUUGGUUGAAACUACAAAACCUAACUUAGACUCUGUAAGCCGAAGGAAAGCCUGUUUCAGGAAUGUUAACUAGUAGUUGACUUGUUUAGUUUCUAAUAUGUGUAUGUGUGUUUUGUUGUUUUAACUAGGUGAGUCUGCACGGAUCUGUGAGCACAGAAAAGAAGAGCUCCUGGAAGACUUAAAAUUUUGCUACAGGAAUAGGCCUUGGCCAUGUAAAAGUGCUUACAGUGCAGGUAGCUUUUUGAGAUCUACUGCAAUGCAAGCACUUCUUACAUUACCAUGGUGAUUUAAUCAAUGGCUACUGAGAACUGUAGUUUGUGCAUAAUUAAGUGGUUGGUGCUUUUGAGCUGCUUCUUAUAAUGUGUCUCUUGUGUUAAGGUGCAUCUAGUGCAGUUAGUGAAGCAGCUUAGAAUCUACUGCCCUAAAUGCCCCUUCUGGCACAGGCUGCCUCAUAUACAGCAUUUUAAAAGUAUGCUUUGAGUAGUAAUUUGAAUAGGACAUGUUUCAAAGGUUUGUUUUUUGCUUUUUUCUUGUUUGUUGGGGACAGAUGGUGGGGACGGUGCAGUGUACGGUUGUAUACAGUGGAUAAGAUUGGGUCCUAGUAGUACCAAAGUGCUCAUAGUGCAGGUAGUUUUGGCAUGACUCUACUGUAGUGUGGGCACUUCUAGUACUCUUGGAUAACAAAUCUCUUGUUGGCGGAGAGAAUAUUCAAAGACAUUGCUACUUACAAUUAGUUUUGCAGGUUUGCAUUUCAGCGUAUACAUGUAUAUAUGGCUGUGCAAAUCCAUGCAAAACUGAUUGUGAUAAUGUGUUACUUCCUACGUCUGUGUGAACACACCUUCAUGCGCAUCUCCAGCACUCGUGCUCAUUCAUCCCUGGGUGGGGAUUUGUUGCAUUACUUGUGUUCUAUAUAAAGUAUUGCACUUGUCCCGGCCUGUGGAAGAAAGGAGGAUUUUAUCAUCUUCUUAUUUUAACUUUUAAAAGCUGUAAGUUCUGAUAUUUAGGCAUUGUAAAAUGAUCUGUUUUGCUGUUGUCGGGUGGAUCACGAUGCAAUUUUGAUUAGUAUCAUAGGAGAAAAAUUGCACGGUAUCCAUCUGUAAACCGCAGGACCUUUGUUGGCGACAUUCCUCAUCAGCACCACAGUAAGAUAGAUGGUAAAAUCCUUUCUCUAGCUGCUGCUUUUAAAAACUAAUUUGAAAUAGUAUUUGGAUUUCUAAAAACUAUGAUAACUAAUUUAUAAAGUAUGUGUUUUGGAACUUUGGUGAAUGAUCAGAUUGUUACUGAAUGUGAAUGAACCUCAAAAUAAAUGAAAUUUGUAGAUCUGAAAAAAUGACUCUUUUUUUGAAAAAAAAAUUAGCAAUGCUAGAGGA